GCUUUUUAAAAAAAAAAACCCGCACCCAUUUAAAAUGAGCAAAGCAGCCACAACCACACUGAAGGUCACAGUUUUCCCUGGGGACUCCAUUAUACCUGCAUCACACACGUCACAGGAGAGGCCAAUGAUUCAACAGGCGAUGGACUUCUGAGAAAUGGAAACUGAGUUUUCCCAGCAGCUAAGCCACAACUGGGGAGCUUGCCUUCAGGUCACAUCAGAACGACCAUGGACUUCAGCACCUCCAUGAUGAAAGAAUCUCCUUACCUUGGUAAGUGGCCUGUGAACCUCGUUAACUUGUCUCGUUUACCAUCCGAAGUUGGCCCAAUAGAAGACAAUACCUCACCCCCCCUUGUCUCUCUAAAAGGCAAUUAGACAUUUUUGGGAAAAGGCUGAAGAUGAAAUAAAACAUUCCAAUGCUUAUUCCAUGGACAUGCAGCUGUACGGCUCCUUCCCCGUGGGCUGGGACAGGACCAAUUCCCUGCCUUGUCAAUGUCUGGCAGAGACGAGGACCUGGCUGGAAACCCGCUGGCAUCAGCUCAGAUAAAAGGGAAGCAAUGCUGCUUGGCAAGAGGAAGCAGUUUGAGGAACUGGCAAAGCCUGUGUCUGCUCCAUCGGCUGAGGGCCCUGGCCUAUCUAUUGUCAAAGUAGUCUGAGAUCUUGGGUUUCUCCCAGGCUUUUCUCUGCCCUGGACUCCCACACAGUGGCAAUGGCCAGAGUCUCUCAGAUUUUUGCUGGCCGUUCCUCUCAGAUUCAGACCUGACCGUGAUCAUCUGGACCGUUGUGACCUCUAGUCUAGGUCACAGCAAUGUGCUGUCCCUCAGGCUAAUGCCCAAGGCCACUUUCAAGCUUCACUUGCGGUCAAUAUGGCCUUUUGAGUAGGACAGAGAGCCCAGAGCAUAUUACACCUGUGCACUGUGCUCCACUCUGCCUGCCAGCUCACUUCCAAAUGAAAUUACUAAUGAUAAAUCUCUAAUUGCUUCCUACAUGCUGAGCAGCCGCAGCUCCAGCUGACAUCAAAGGGAUCCAUAUGUGAAAACCAGAUUGCAAGUUGUCCAGGUCCCAGUUAGCUCAUCUCUCUCCCUAUCCCCUGCCACAGCACGUGUGCUUGGAAGACGGGCUUUGGGUCUGUCCUAGGGAUGAUGUUUGUGGGAGGAGAGGGCAGGGCGUUCUCCAGGUCAGGGCUUGCCCCUCCAAAAUUUAAUCCCAGCAGCUAUUUCUGAGCCCAAACCUGGCCACUUUCAGACUGAGGUGUAAGACAAGUCUGUCUCUUUGCUCUGGCUUCCCAAUAAAACCAGGGCCUUGGGAUCCCCUGAAUUUAACCCACUUGCUGAAAUACACAAGCUCAGCCCUUGUCUGGGAUGCUGGCUCAGGGAGUACAUGAUCCCUGUUUUGAGGAAGGUGAUUUCUGGUAUCUUUGUAACACAUUUCAUCUUCGUUUGAUUCAUGCCCCCUUCUUCUUUUAAUCUUUAUUUGGGAACCUGUCCCUUUCAAGACCCUGACCAAAUUCUGUUUUCAGUUACACCGGAGUAAUUCUGGACUAACUCCAUUAACUUUAGUGGAGUUGCUUCAGAUUUAGAUCCUGUCUAUACUGCACCUAUUAACUGUGAUUUUGUAACCAGCUAGGGGCGGAGCCAGUUACUGUUGGUUGUGUGAUUCUGU